rnacentral:lncRNA from 1 species
CCGAGAUUGAGCCACUGCACUCCAGCCUGGGCAACAGAGCAACACUCUGUCUCAAAAAAACAAAACACAACAAAACAAACCCACAAAUAUGUUAUCUUACAGUUCUAUAGACCAGAAGUCCAACACAGGUCUCACCAGGCUAAAAUCAAGCUGUUAACAGGGCUGCUUCCUCACUGGGAGCUUUAGAUGGGAAUCUGUUUCCUGCUCAUUAGGUUUAUUCACAGACUUUAGGGCCAUGCAGUUGUAGAACUGAGGUCCCCUUUCCCUUGUAGUUGGCUGGUGGUUCCCUUCCUCCAUUUUCAAAGCCUGCAAUGGAGGGACAGGCUCUUUUCAUGUCACAUUCCUCUGACCCAUUCUUCUGUCUUCCUCUUCUACUGCUGACAAUUCAUGUGAUUAGACUGGGCUCCCCUGGAUAAUCCAGGAUACUCUCCUCAUCUCAAAGUCCAUACCCUAAGCACAUGUACAAAGUCCCCUUUGCUAUGUAAGGUAACAUAUUCACAGGUUCCAAGGAUUAGGAUGUGAACAUCUUUGAGGAACCAUCAUUCUGUCCACCACAAGGGCUUUGAGCAAUGGAGCAACUGCUCACUCUGCAGCCAAGAAUGUGUCAGUCUAGUUGCUCUGUUGAAAAUAGUUGGGAGUGGGAGGAGGAAGGCCAGGGAGGAUAGGGCAAGAAGCAGGAAGCUGGUGUAGAGGCUAACACGAUAAUUCAGGGGACAAAUAAUGGUAGUUUCAACCAAGGUGGGGGGUGACUCUGGAAGAGUCAAGGCUAGAUAAGGUGACAAUAGGUUUUAGGUGUCAAGUUGGCUAAGCUACAGUCCUCAGUUAUUCAGUCAAACACUAAUCUGGGUGUUGCUGUGAAGACAUUUUACGGACAUGAUUAAAGUCCCUCAUCAACUGACUUUCAGCCAGGGAGAUAAUCCUAGAUUGAAGGUGGGCCUGAUCCAAUCCAUUGAAAGGCCCUAGAAGAGCUGAGCGUUCCCUGAUGAAGAAAUUCUGCCUGUGGAUGGCAAUUCCGCUCAUGCCCAGGAGUUCCAACCUGCUCUUUCUGACGGUGUGCCCUAUGGAUUUCCCACUGGCCUAACCAGCCCCAUGAUUAUGUGAGGCAGGAGAAUCGGGCCUGGAGGCAGGGAACCUCAGGGCUUCCUAGAACUAAAUCAAAUGGAAACACUUCAGCUAUGACAGGAACUACACUCGUCAUUUACAUAGAAUGUACACCAAAUACAUAACUUUGUAACCUCACUUUAGCCUCUUCAUUUACAUAGGGCGUACACCAAGUAACCAAUGGAAACCUCUAGAUGGUAUUUAAACCCCAGAAAAUUCUGUAACCGGGCUCUUAAGCCCCUAUGCUCAGCCGCUCCCACCCUGUGGAGUGUACUUUUGUUUUCUAUAAAUCUCUGCUUUUGUUGCUUCAUUCUUUCCUUGGUUUGUUUGUGUGUUUUGUCCAAUUCUUCGUUCAAGAUGCCAAGAACCUGGACACCCCCAACUGGUAACAUAUGUAGGGCAAUUCCUCUUAAUAUGACUCUCCUACUGGUUCAGUUUCUCUGGUUGAACCCUGACUGAUACAUCCUGAAUAAGUUUGAAUGUGGAGCUGACCGGCUAAGCUAGUGUAUUGGAAGUGGGAUGUGAGAAAGUGGAGUCCAGGAUGAUGCCAAAGUUUUUGCCCCGAGCAGCCAGAAGGAUGGCUUAGGUAUCUCCUUCUAAGGUAGGAAUCACGAAUGCAAAAGCCACCUACAAAAGCCUGUUCAAGGGAUGGCAAAGGAAGAUGCCCAGUUUCCCCCAAGGAAGCCCUUUCAGACGGGGGAUGUGUAUAGGCAGGAAUGGGUUGGAGUGGCUGGCCAGCCCUGAUGUGGGCAAGCUCCAAUUUAAGGGGGUGAAAUAGGUAAUAAAGUCACUGCUGUGCUCCAUGCCACUCAUCCAGAAACACUAGUGGUUUUCCAGUGCAUUCUGGAAUCCUCAGGAAAUCUGGAGAUCUUUUUACUGUUCUCUGCUGUGAACCCCACCUCCCCUGCUGCUGUGUGCUCUGGGAAUGAGUUAGCUGAACCCUGAGCCAAAAACCAACAAGGAGUGCUGAAUAGAGACUUUAUGGAGUUGCUCUGUGGGCUUUUUUUCUUGUGAAGGAACAGGGUGUGCUUGAAAGUAAAAAGUGAGUUAUUUGGUGUUGUUGUUGUUGUUAUUGUUGUUUAAAUCUUCCUGGAAGGCAGAAAGAAAGAGAUAAAAAGGAAAAAACAGCAUUUGUCACUUAUAGUGCUCUGGUUAGCACAGUAGCUGGGCCCCUGAACCCUCUACAGGCCUCCCAAGCUGGCACUGAAUAAAAUGUGAGAAAUGAAAGGAACUUUUCCGUGAGUCUGGCAGCGCCGACAGACACUGAGGUGGCAGAGCUGUCUGGUCCCAGUCCACAUGCAGAGGCCUGCAGCUCCUCCUUCCAGCCCGCACCCACCAGAGCUUCUCAGACGGGCCGUGUCCUGAGAAGGUUGUUGCCAAUGUAGAUGUUUGAGAGGCUCACUGAUGAACAAAUCAACAGAGCAGAUUUAAUCUGAAGAGAUCCAAAUAUUGUGCUUCUUUGGACUCAUAGAAAUGGCGAAAGAUUUAACAUCAGGAAGUACUUAAGUCAGCUAAUUUCUAGAGCCUUCUUCCUCCCUGUCACUUGAUUCUAGAUAGGAUCACCAGUUAGACAUCAGAACCAGAUCUUUUUAUCCAGAGAAGUACCAGUUUGUUGUUUUUCCUUCCGAAGCCAAGUCCUCGAGUUUCAGGUAGACUUCAGUUGAUUUCUGCGAGGUCUUUGCUUUCUCUCUGCCAGAAUAAUCACUGCUGAGGAAAGCAAAAAGCCCCGAAGAGCCUGGCUUGGAAUAAAAACAUGCACCAUACAAGAUUUUUAUGAAGAUUAAAUAACUUGGGCUAAAAUAUUCUGGAAGCUGCCAAGGGCUCUACAGAUGAGCUAUACAGAGGCAUUUGCUGAAAACUGGCCUGGAUUGACAAGCGCAAUGCAAACGUGGCUGCGGCAGUUCCAGGCAUCACAUGGUAACAAGAUCACAUCCAGUGAAGAAGGAAUUCUCAUAAGACAGUCAGCAGAUUUUGCAGGUACUGCUUUAACUGCUUUACAUCGAUUCACUUGUUUACUCCUCUCAACAGUCCUGCAAGGUGGAUAUCACUCUCACCUUCAGCGCACAAAGAAAGGAGGUAUACAGAAGACACAGAACUCACCAAAGUCACAGGAACUAGGUGAGGAUGAACCAGGCUGCAUCCAAGCAGCCCAGCUUCAGGGUCUGUAUUCUUUGCCACUACCCAGAACUUUUACCAAUAAGCAAAGCUAUUGUUUGCAAUAACAGGAAGCAAAAAUAGCAAAAAGUUCCCUUUAAGGGGGAGUGUUAUAAUAUACUUAACAAUCAGAAUGGCUGAAGCACUGAUCUGUGAGAGUGGCUACUGGUCAUAGCCUGGAGCUGGUCUUUUAGGUCCUCUUUGGUUACUGGAUCCUGGGAGGAUGGAUGAGGAAGUGGUCUCAGGCAAGGGGUGGAGUUAAGUGGCUGUGGAAGGUACUUUGGAGGCUCAGGCAGCAGCUUUUUUUCCCCUUAAACUUUUGUUUUAAGUUCUAGGGUACACGUGCAGGAUGUGCAGUUUACAUAGGUAAACGUGUGCCGUGGUGGUUUGCUGUACAGAACAAACCAUCACUCAGGUAUUAUUAAGCCCAGCACCCAUUAGCUAUUCUUUCUGAUGCUUUCCCUCUCCCAACUUCCACCCGACAGGCCCCAGUGUGUGUUGUUCCCCUCCCUCUGUUCUCAUUGUUCAGCUCCCACUUAUAAGUGAGAACAUGUGGUGUUUGGUUUUCUGUUCCUGCGUCAGUUUGCUGAGGAUAACAGCUUCCAGCUCCAACUAUGUCCCUGCAAAGGACAUGAUCUGAUUCCUUGUUAUGGCUGCAUAGUAUUCCAUGGUGUAUAUGUAACACAUUUUCUUUAUCCAGUCUAUUGUUGAUGCACAUUUGGGUUGAUUCCAUGCCUUUGCUAUUGUAAAUAGUGUUGCAAUGAACAUACAUCUUUAUAUAUGAAUAUAUGUAUCUUUAUAAUAGAAUGAUCUAUAUUCCUUUGGGUAUAUGCGCAGUAAUAAGAUUGCUGGGUCAAAUGGUAUUUCCGCUUCUAGAUCUUUGAGGAAUCGCCACACUGUCUUUCACCAUGGUUGAACUAAUUUACAUUCCCACCAACAGUGUAAAAACGUUCCUUUUUCUCCACAACUUUGCCAACAUCUGCAGUUUCUUGACUUUUUAAUAAUUGCCAUUCUGACUGGCAUGAGAUGGUAUCUCAUUUUGGUUUUGAUUUGCAUUUCUCUGAUGAUCAGUGAUGUUGAGCUUUUUUUUUUUUUUUUUUUUUUUUGAGACGGAGUCUUGCUCUGUCACCCAGGCUGGAGUGCAGUGGCACAAUCUCGGCUCACUGCAACCUCUGAGCCCCCCUCCCUCGGGUUCAAGUGAUUCUCCUGCCUCAGCCUCUUGAGUAGCUGGGAUGACAGGUGCCUGCCACCGUGCCCAGCUAAUUUUUGUAUUUUUAGUAGAGACGGGGUUUCACCAUCUUGGCCAGACUGGUCUUGAACUCCUGACCUCGUGAUCCACCCGCCUCGGCCUUCCAAAGUGCUGGGAUUACAGGCAUGAGCCACUGCGCCUGGCCUGAGCUUUUUUUUAAUGUUUGUUGGCCGCAUUAAUGUUUUAUUCUGAGAAGUGUCUGUUCAUGUCCUUUAGGGCAGCAGCUUUAAACAACUCAUACAGAAAGUUCAAUAUCUUAACUUCCAGUGUGGCAGGAUGGGUGUGCCCUGGGUGAAUACCAGAACUGGUUGUCAUUUUUCAGUGUUUCCUGAUCAACCUGUGGACAAAACAAACUGAUUUUUAAGGACAUUCUCAUUGUUUAAUGUUAUAUUGAUUUUAAAAAUAUAUUUUAUUAUUAAUACCAUGUUUAAAUUGUUUUUUAAAAAGACUUAAGGCAGCUUGUAGUUUAAAAAAACCCUUACAAAUAAAGUCAUUA